GAUGAACGCUAGCGGCAGGCUUAAUACAUGCAAGUCGAGGGGCAGCAGGACUGUAGCAAUACAGUUGCUGGCGACCGGCAAACGGGUGCGGAACACGUACGCAACCUACCCAAAACUGGGGGAUAGCCCGGGGAAACCCGGAUUAAUACCUCGUAACCUUUUUAAGUGGCAUCACUUGAUAAGUAUAGCUCCGGCGGUUUUGGAUGGGCGUGCGCCUGAUUAGGUAGUUGGUGCGGGUAACGGCCCACCAAGCCUGCGAUCAGUAACUGGUGUGAGAGCACGACCAGUCACACGGGCACUGAGACACGGGCCCGACUCCUACGGGAGGCAGCAGUAAGGAAUAUUGGUCAAUGGACGCAAGUCUGAACCAGCCAUGCCGCGUGAAGGAUGCAGGUCCUCUGGAUUGUAAACUUCUUUUAUGGGGGACGAAACCCGGAUAUUCUUAUCCGAUUGACGGUACCUCAGGAAUAAGCACCGGCUAACUCCGUG
rnacentral:rRNA from 1 species